AAUAGAUACCCCGGUAGUCCACGCCGUAAACGAUGAGUGCUAAGUGUUAGAGGGUUUCCGCCCUUUAGUGCUGCAGCUAACGCAUUAAGCACUCCGCCUGGGGAGUACGGCCGCAAGGCUGAAACUCAAAGGAAUUGACGGGGGCCCGCACAAGCGGUGGAGCAUGUGGUUUAAUUCGAAGCAACGCGAAGAACCUUACCAGGUCUUGACAUCCUCUGACAACCCUAGAGAUAGGGCUUUCCCCUUCGGGGGACAGAGUGACAGGUGGUGCAUGGUUGUCGUCAGCUCGUGUCGUGAGAUGUUGGGUUAAGUCCCGCAACGAGCGCAACCCUUGAUCUUAGUUGCCAGCAUUCAGUUGGGCACUCUAAGGUGACUGCCGGUGACAAACCGGAGGAAGGUGGGGAUGACGUCAAAUCAUCAUGCCCCUUAUGAACUGGGCUACACACGUGCUACAAUGGAUGGUACAAAGGGCUGCAAACCUGCGAAGGUAAGCGAAUCCCAUAAAGCCAUUCUCAGUUCGGAUUGCAGG
rnacentral:rRNA from 1 species